AUGAACGCUAGCGGCAGGCCUAAUACAUGCAAGUCGAACGGUGUCUUCGGACAUAGUGGCGCACGGGUGCGUAACACGUAUGCAACCUACCUUACAUUGGGGGAUAGCCUUUCGAAAGGGAGAUUAAUACCGCAUAAGACAGUAGCUGGGCAUCCAGCAGCUGUUAAAGAUUUAUCGAUGUAAGCUGGGCAUGCGUCCAAUUAGCUAGUUGGUGAGGUAACGGCUCACCAAGGCUAUGAUUGGUAGGGGAACUGAGAGGUCAAUCCCCCACACUGGCACUGAGAUACGGGCCAGACUCCUACGGGAGGCAGCAGUAGGGAAUAUUGGGCAAUGGACGCAAGUCUGACCCAGCCAUGCCGCGUGCAGGAUGAAGGCGUUAUGCGUUGUAAACUGCUUUUAUACAGGAAGAAACGACUCUUGCGAGAGGCAUUGACGGUACUGUAUGAAUAAGCACCGGCUAACUCCGUG
rnacentral:rRNA from 1 species